GUCGGUGGUGGUCGAGCUCGACUCCGAAGUCGUUGAGAGGAUCGCUCUCUCCGUCUCAGUUUCUUCCGUUCUUCCCGCCUCCGUUUCAACGGGGAGGAUGUCGUCGUUGGACGUCGAGGACGAACCGAUCCAAGUCUCUUCGAAGAUUCCACAGCACGCAUAAUCUACAUGCAUAGAAUUUUCGAUCGAAAUUCCAAUACGGGACAAAGUCUCUUUACAAAACACCGUUGAUGUCGAUCGUCGAGAAUCUCGCCGUCAAGACGAGCACAUCGCGCACUAUGCUGUUAACAUAGGACGCGACGUUUCCGAUGCACCCGCGACCUUGUACCUGACGAGCACGCCAAAGGACACCCGAAAGCAAUCGCGAGCACCGUACACCGGUGCGAGGAGAGCGAGACUGAACGUUGUGCAGAGGAUAGAGAGGCCACUGUUACUUUCAUGGGUUGCCUCCACCUCCACCGUGGGACUGUCCGAACCUCUCCAAUCCAUUCCUGCCACUCCUCCUCUCAGGCAGAGGUGAAAGGAAAACAUUUCUUCCCUUCUUCCACCCUACCCCGAAACUUCUUCGAGUUCGCUUUUUUUUUUUUUUUUUUUUUUUUUAAU